rnacentral:rRNA from 1 species
GACGAACGCUGGCGGCGUGCUUAACACAUGCAAGUCGAACGGAAAGCCCCUGCUUUUGUGGGGUGCUCGAGUGGCGAACGGGUGAGUAACACGUGAGUAACCUGCCCUUGACUUUGGGAUAACUUCAGGAAACUGGGGCUAAUACCGGAUAGGAGCUCCUGCUGCAUGGUGGGGGUUGGAAAGUUUCGGCGGUUGGGGAUGGACUCGCGGCUGAUCAGCUUGUUGGUGGGGUAGUGGCUUACCAAGGCUUUGACGGGUAGCCGGCCUGAGAGGGUGACCGGCCACAUUGGGACUGAGAUACGGCCCAGACUCCUACGGGAGGCAGCAGUGGGGAAUAUUGUACAAUGGGCGGAAGCCUGAUGCAGCAACGCCGCGUGCGGGAUGACGGCCUUCGGGUUGUAAACCGCUUUCGCCUGUGACGAAGCGUGAGUGACGGUAAUGGGUAAAGAAGCACCGGCUAACUACGUG